rnacentral:lncRNA from 1 species
UUACUAACGAUUGGCUUGUAAAACGUUGGUUGCAAGGUACCAACGUUAAAAGACUUGAUCUACCUGAAGAUUCGCUCAAGGUGGUUGAAAAAUGGACGUUGAUGGUGGAAGAAUGGGUCUUGUAACGGUCAGAAAGGCAUAUUCCGCGAGAAUAUCGGAUGUUGGUCAAUGUUAUUGACAUUGUAACGGUUAUAUGAGCUGAAGACCCGGUUUUGUAGUCAAUAAGCACGUGGAAAACAAGUAGAAAGAGUCCCCCAACGUUCAGAAUGGAAUAUUCCCAGCAUCCCGGAAUAAUAGGAGAGUUAGUAGACACAACUUUUCACACACUUUCACUCACACUCUUUGCUCUCUAGCUACUAGCAACCACUACACACAAACACUUGUACUCAAAUCUCAUUGUAACACUUAGCGAUCCGAUCAAUAUCCUGCACUGUAUCCUGACGUUUGAAGUAAUAGAAGA